rnacentral:rRNA from 1 species
GAUGAACGCUGGCGGCGUGCUUAACACAUGCAAGUCGAACGGAAAGGCUCCUGCUUGCAGGGGUACUCGAGUGGCGAACGGGUGAGUAACACGUGGGUGAUCUGCCCUUCACUUCGGGAUAAGCCUGGGAAACUGGGGCUAAUACCGGAUAGGACGAUGGUUUGGAUGCCAUUGUGGAAAGUUUUUCGGUGUGGGUUGAGCUCGCGGCCUAUCAGCUUGGUGGUGGGGUAAUGGCUUACCAAGGCGUCGACGGGUAGCCGGCCUGAGAGGGUGUACGGCCACAUUGGGACUGAGAUACGGCCCAGACUCCUACGGGAGGCAGCAGUGGGGAAUAUUGCACAAUGGGCGCAAGCCUGAUGCAGCGACGCCGCGUGGGGGAUGACGGCCUUCGGGUUGUAAACUCCUUUCGCUAGGGACGAAGCGCAAGUGACGGUACCUGGAGAAGAAGCACCGGCUAACUACGUG